CACCCGGGCCGGCCGGCGGGUGUUUACGCGGCACCGAGAUGGGAACGGGGCAGGGGCAGCGGCAGCGGGCUCGGGGCGGGGCAGGGCAGUCAGCCGGGGCUCGCUCCCUGGCGCCUCAGGAGAGCCGCUUUGCCGGGCCCCGGGGCAGCCCCUUCGCUCAGGGCGUGCGGUGUGCGCCGGGCGGCGGCGGGGAUCGGGUGACCCCGGGGCGCUUGGUGGUUGCGCUGUACUUUGCCAGGAGCGCUGAAUUGGCAGGGGUUCGCUCUGAGAUUAUUUCUGUCCCGCGACAAUUAACCUCUCUGCAGCUGUGGGAAGAAAUUGUUAAAAGGCAUCCAAGACUUGCUGCCAUUCAGGAUCAAGUGGUCUUUGCUGUUCGCCAGGAAUACGUGCUUCUUGGUGAUCAGCUUCUGGUCCUGCAGUCAGGUGACGAGGUUGCUAUUAUCCCACCUAUCAGCGGGGGCUAACUCCAGGCAAAGACACUUGGGGUCUAGUGAUUUGUGGAUGACUUUCCCCUUCUGCUGGAACUCUGUAAGCGGGUGUAACAUGCAUCCCCUGCAGUAGACAGCUGUGAUGCUGACACUAAGAUUGAAGCCAUGAAUGAAAGUGAAGAUGAGCCCAAAGAUU